rnacentral:rRNA from 1 species
UGGGGAAUUUUGGACAAUGGGCGAAAGCCUGAUCCAGCAAUGCCGCGUGUGUGAAGAAGGCCUUCGGGUUGUAAAGCACUUUUGUCCGGAAAGAAAUCCUUGGCUCUAAUACAGUCGGGGGAUGACGGUACCGGAAGAAUAAGCACCGGCUAACUACGUGCCAGCAGCCGCGGUAAUACGUAGGGUGCAAGCGUUAAUCGGAAUUACUGGGCGUAAAGCGUGCGCAGGCGGUUUGCUAAGACCGAUGUGAAAUCCCCGGGCUCAACCUGGGAACUGCAUUGGUGACUGGCAGGCUAGAGUAUGGCAGAGGGGGGUAGAAUUCCACGUGUAGCAGUGAAAUGCGUAGAGAUGUGGAGGAAUACCGAUGGCGAAGGCAGCCCCCUGGGCCAAUACUGACGCUCAUGCACGAAAGCGUGGGGGAGCAGACAGGAUUAGAUACCCUGGUAGUCCACGCCCUAAACGAUGUCAACUAGUUGUUGGGGAUUCAUUUCCUUAGUAACGUAGCUAACGCGUGAAGUUGACCGCCUGGGGAGUACGGUCGCAAGAUUAAAACUCAAAUGAAUUGACGGGGUCAUAGCUGUUUCCU